AAAACACCAGAUUAACAGUUGAGAAUCAAGCCACAAAGUCAUUGAAGCUGAGAAGAAUGUGAAGGAUUCAAGAAAACUUGGAAGAUCAAGAUUAUAAUUCUUGAGUUUUAUCUUUUUGAUUUUUUUUAUUUUCUUAGUUUGUUGUUAUUGUUUAAACUUUAUUUGAUGAUGAUGUGUGACUUGAUGGGAACUAAAUUGUUUAUUGUUUAAACUUUAUUUGAUGAUUGAACUCAAUAUGUAG
rnacentral:lncRNA from 1 species